rnacentral:tRNA from 1 species
AUCUGGUUGGCUCAGCUGGAAGAGCAUGUGACUCUUGAUCUCAGGGUCAUGGGUACGAGCCCCAUGUUGGGUG